UCGGAAUCACUGGGCGUAAAGGGCGCGUAGGCGGCUUGCCAAGUCGGGGGUGAAAGCCCGUGGCUCAACCACGGAAUGGCCUUCGAUACUGGCAGGCUUGAGACCGGAAGAGGACAGCGGAACUGCGAGUGUAGAGGUGAAAUUCGUAGAUAUUCGCAAGAACACCAGUGGCGAAGGCGGCUGUCUGGUCCGGUUCUGACGCUGAGGCGCGAAAGCGUGGGGAGCAAACAGGAUUAGAUACCCUGGUAGUCAAGGGCG
rnacentral:rRNA from 1 species